AUGGAAGUGAUUGAGACAAUGAAAAAUGAAGGACAAUCGGCGGGAGCAGCAUCCGGAGUGUUUGACGAUUGCUAUUUUAUGGCAUGUGAUUUUACUGUUACUAGGUUUGAAUAUUGUAAUAGAGAAGCAAAUAAGGUUUCUCAUGAACUUGCUAGGCUAGCGAAAUUUUCCAAGAGUAGGGAUUGGUGCGAGGAGCAUAUAGAUGACAUUGUAUCUUUUCUUAUUGAUGAUCACUACUGCAGGAUACUGCUAACCCGACACUAUAAUUAG
rnacentral:rRNA from 1 species